rnacentral:rRNA from 1 species
GACGUAGGGGGCAAGCGUUGUUCGGAAUUAUUGGGCGUAAAGAGCUCGUAGGUGGUCUGUUGCGUCCGCUGUGAAAACCCAGGGCUUAACCCUGGGCUGGCAGUGGAUACGGGCAGACUAGAGGUAGGUAGGGGAGAAUGGAAUUCCCGGUGUAGCGGUGAAAUGCGCAGAUAUCGGGAGGAACACCGGUGGCGAAGGCGGUUCUCUGGGCCUUACCUGACACUGAGGAGCGAAAGCGUGGGGAGCGAACAGG